GCUGAAAUUUUUUAUAAAACAGCUCCUUUUCAAUUGUUGAAAUUGUAAAUUUAACAGCGAUUAUAGUACCCUAAAAAUUCCUGUACUAACCCUAUAACCCAAUAAUGGAGUGGAGGUAUCAAAGGAAGAAUUCGAUCUAGAUGAUUGGAAUGCAAUUAAAGUCCUCCAAAGCAGAAGCAGAGUUUAAAUGCAUCAUGACAGCAUGACCCUGACAUCCAACAUGCAUUAAGGAAUGUACCCGUAAUUAUAGUAAGUUUCAUACUCUUUCUUUAUUGUGAACUCUUAGUGAGAUGGUGUUGGGUUCCAGUGUUUGCAAUGCGUGCAUAGUUGGCUUUGUGGUUCCCCAUUGUAAAUACAUGGCAUCCUUUCAUGUGUGGUGUGUACACUGAUGUGACCGUGUUUGGUGGUGUGCAGUAAUCAAUGAUAAUUGUAUUGUUUUUGGAUGAGUUUCGGAGCUGUCAGCUGAGUGUAUAUAUAGAGUUGGUGAAUAGCUACUCUAUACAAUGGAUACUAACAGGAAAGUACCCUUUGCUAUUAUGUCUGUUCUGAGGGAGUUGCUACGAGUAUCUAAAGUUACAAAGAGUAGAGAGGUUACAAGCACGACUAAAUAUGAUGAUCUUCAUCACAUUAAUUUUAUGAUGAUAUUGAUCCCUCAGUGUUUAGUAUCAGUGGUGAUAUAGUAUCAGUGGUGAUGAGAAAAAGGAUCCAUGGACCACCAGUCUCCACGAGUUAAUGGUCAAGCAUGGAGUCACUGACGAGCAGUUGGAUCUAGGGAUUGAACAAGAUGACCUUUCUCUAGUAGCUAUGCACUUUGAUGAUGUGGAGCUCUACUUCCACCCACUGAAGCUGAAUGGAAACAAACAAGCUGAUGCGAGGACUUGCGCUCAUGUUAGUAAAAGCAAUCAAGUGGCAGUGAUAAACUGUUUGUCAAAUCUGGAGAGGUCACGAACCCAGCGAAGCAACCUUUAGAGCGCUGAUUAGGAUCUUAUUUGAUCUAAGGAAGGAAGAAAUUGCUACUAAGAUCUGUCAGUACUUUAAUGAAAAAAGGUAUAACAAUGACAGUACAUGUGUUCAUUCUUGACGAACGUAUUCCACUAAAUGUACUUGUUGCAUGCAGUGUAUACAUUUCAAGUACAGUGUACGUCUAUAAUUAUACCCAGACUAAUUUAUGUACUACAUACUUGAGUCACUAUAUAGGAUACCCAAGAAAUAUACAUCCCUCAGCUCGUUUUGAUCUGUAUUAGUUGUAGUGACUGAACAGCUGCAUCUUUCACCAUCUUCCGAAGUGCAACAGUAUAUAGCAGUAGCAGAGGUCUGUGUACCCACUACAAAUUGAGUGCCUCUGAGCACUUAAUUUCCAAAUAAUUCCCAGGCCCCCUAGCUAGUUGCCGGCUUGUAAAAACACUGUUUGAGCUGAAUUAUGGAUCACAACAAAAUAAUGCAGUGGCAGAUCUAGGCAGGUUCCAUGCAUGGGUUCCAUGAACCCCCCUUUUUCACACAAGAACACACGUCACUGGAGAUCAACUUACUAUAGCUAGCACUUAACUUGAAUGAUCGGGAUCUGUAGAUACUAGGCUGAUUUCAUGCAAUUGAUGUGCAUGCAUGCUCAUUGCUUAGGAAAAGUGAUGACCUUUUUUUGUAAAAUUACUGUUUUGGAACCUCCCUCUCAACACUCCUGGA